GAAUCCCUGACGCAGCAACGCCCCUAGGGUGAGUAAGGUUUUUUUAUUCUAAAAUCCAGUCUUUGGGGAGGAUAAAAACGGUACCCAAGUAAGAAUCCACAUCUAAUAACUUCCCAGCAGCAGCCGUAAUAAUUAGGAGGCAACCAUUGUCCUCAAUUUUUAUUCGUAAAGAAUAUGUAGGCGGAUAUUUAAUUCAUCAGUGAAAUCACCAGGCUUAUCAACUGAGGAGCAUUCGAUAAUGAAUAUAUUGAGUACAGGAGAGGAAAUAGGAAUUCUUAGUGUAGCGGUGAAAAAAGUAGUGAUUAGGAAGAACACCAGUGGUGAAGAAGACUUUUUGGUCAGUAACCGACGAUGAGAUAGGAAAAAAGGGGGAGGAAACAACAUUAUUUACCACCGUAGUAC
rnacentral:rRNA from 1 species